rnacentral:rRNA from 1 species
AUUGACCGCUGGCGGCAGGCUUAACACAUGCACGUCGAGCGAGCGGCGGACGGGUGUGUAAUGUCUGGGAAACUGCCUGAUGGAGGGGGAUAACUACUGGAACCGGUAGCUAAUACCGCAUACCAUCAGAUGUGCCCCGAUGGGAUUAGCUAGUCGGUGGGGUAAUGGCUCACCUAGGCGACGAUCCCUAGCUGGUCUGAGAGGAUGACCAGCCACCCGGGAACUGGGACACGGUCCAGACUCCUACGUGAGGCAGCAGUGGGGAAUAGUGCACAAGGGGCGCGAGCCUGAUGCAGCCAUGCGGCGUGUGUGAAGAAGGCCUUCUGGUUGUAAAGCACCUGCAGCGAGGAGGCGUUACUCGCAGAAGAAGCACAGGCUAACUCCGUGCCAGCAGCCGCGGUAAUUC